rnacentral:SRP_RNA from 1 species
GGUAAGGAUUCUUGAUCGGCUCCUUCUGAACUCCCCCAGGGUAGAAAUACAGCAAGGGUAGGAAGUUGAGCGGUCGUUGGGUUCUUACCAUU